GGGCCCGUAGCUCAGGUGGAAGAGCGCUUGGCUGGCAGCCAAGAGGUCGCCGGUUCGAAUCCGGUCGGGUCCA
rnacentral:tRNA from 1 species